ensembl:lncRNA
UGCGAGGCUUUGCGGGGCGCGCAGCGUGCGCCGGUGCGUGUGGACUUUCGAGCUCCGCUUGCAAAGCUCGCACACGCACUGGGCAGGGGGUGUGCACGCCUGGGGUGAUGUCAUAUAUAUAUAUGUAUAUAUAUAUGUAUGUAUGUAUGUAUACAUUUUGUUGCUGUUGUUAACAUUCCCGUGGCGAGAAGAGGGCACGGAGCCCACUGAGGGAGAUGCCCCCCUCGCUGGGUGGGCUCGACCCGACCGCGGGGAUCCCAACAGCAGAGCCGAUCCCCCACGAGAGGCACCUCCGCACGUCUCCCUGCGUUCAGCCCCCUCGGGCCAGACGGCCCGAUGAAAGCUCUGUGUCGUUCUCGUAAUUAUCGCAUAAUUGCCUCCUGAUGGGUUAGGGACAGCGGCGACAAACUACAUUUAGAAGGUGAUGUAUGGGGGGUGAGGGGGCAGAGAUAAAAAUACAAAAACAAACGAGCAAGCGUCCCAGAAAUCUCCCAAGCCAACCCAAUUACUCCAACGCUGUUACUCAGCGAAAAAGGAGAGAAAAUUAUUUUAUAGCCCUUCUGCUUUGCUACGGGCGGGCAUACGGAGCGGGGACCCCGGCUCAGCCCUUCGUCCGGCGGGUCCCCGCAGCCCCGGCAGAGCGGCCCCGGAUCCGGACAGGUGGAUGCUAUUCAAAGUGCCAAUUCUGCUGCCAGGAGCUGCUCGGUGAGACACCGCGGCAGGACGGAGCCCGUCCUCGGCAGGACCUCGCUUGUCUCCCGCAGACCGCUCUAUGGAGUGUACGCCGCUUCGAAGCGGAGACAUUGAUUUAACGCGUUGGGCUUGUGCACAGAAAAUAUCAAUCGACCGACAGCGAUAAGGCAGCGGGUUUCGCAUAUCAGCUGAGGAGCACAGACCGUGUGUAAUGGAAAUAUUCGGGGCGUGGGUAGUAAAAGGGCUUAAGCGGAGCGCCGCGGCUCCCAGCCUCUCAGAGAUAAGGAGCAGAGCCCGUCACGGAGACUGCGUGUGCCCCACCGCCACCGACCUUGUUCUUUCCUUUCCUCGCUGCCGGCGAGUGGUGGGCAGUGACCCGCUGACACCGCAGGCAUAUGGCUCCGGGCAAAAAUCAGGGUCCUUGCCUCAGCGGGCGCAGCUCUCUGAGUGCAGUGUAACGCUCGGGAUCCAACAGAGGGAAGAGGAGCCCCGUACUUUCUGCCCCACUUUAAGCCCACGCUCCAGAAGCACCCGGCAACAGUAUGAAAAUAGGCUAGAAAUGGGCUCGAUAGGAAACAGGGAGAAUCCCGAAUGCCCCCCCCCCCACCCCCCACCCCAUCAGCGUGCGAGCAUCUCGCCUCGGCCGGAUCGGUUCGCUGAUGGAGGGAGGCGGAGGGAGGUACGGGGAUGUGCCCGUGCCAGGGGUGGGCUCGGCCACGAGCGUAGCAAAGCGGGACCCGCCGGGCUGCAACCUCCCCGGCCAGCGCCGUUCAUAGGGGCUCUUCGCCUUUUGCUUCACGGCGAUUACCUCUGCCACGUGCGAGGCAGGGAGGCUGACUCACGGAGUGCAGCAGAGCGGGGAGCGAUGAGGGGCGGUGGGGAUCGCUGCACACCCACGCAGAGCGUGGGCUCUGAGAACCGUACACAGCGAGGGGGCCGGCAGUGAUCCCGGUUGUUCUGUGGGGCCGGCGCUGCCCCCCGACUCCACUGUCCUCCCGGGCACCGCGAGGCCCCCGCAGCGCUGUCCGGGUCCCUCCGACCCGACACCCCCCCACGGGUCUCGGGGGACAAGUGGAAAGAUACACAGCACACAAUGACCGGGAGAAAAUCACAGCACAAAGGGGAGCGGAAUGUGGGCUCCGCACUCCCACGCUGCGGUGCCGGGUACGGCAAUGCGGGAUAACGGCUAACAGCUGAAAUCAAAACGCAAUUGGUUUGAUUUUUUUUAAAUGCCGAGGGCGGCAUUGAGGGGAAAGGAGUCGUUUUUUAAUCUUAAUGCAAACCCAUCCGCCAGCAGACGCAGAGUAAAAGCUCGUUAAAAAAAAAAAAAAACACAAUAUAAAAAAUGGAAUGUGCUUUUUCUGAGCUUUGCGGAUCUUUACGGGGGAGAAACAAAUGAGGGAAGAGUGGAAAAUGGGAGGCGAUAAGAAGAAAACCUGCCUUUGUUCUCCCUGGUCAUUUUCUGCUAAUUACUCUGCCCAUUGUGACAAAGUCGCAGUUAAGGGCACAUUAGUGUACAUAACGCCGCGUUUCGCCCCGCACCGCUCAGCGCCCGG